GCUGCGGCUAUGGGCCGCUAUUGCGCUCAAAAGAGUAAAAAACCGACAGCGACAGGGCAAGGAGCCAGGGCCGCUCCGCUCCGCUCCGCUCGUGCUCUGCUCCUGCUCUCUCUCUCUCUCGGCGUCGAUUGGGCGACCGCCGCCGCCUCCCCCAGGUCUUCGCUGGGCCCGUCGCCGGCGCCGAGCACCCACCAGGUACGUCCAUCCAUUCUCAUCCCCACUCCCUAGGUGCUGUACGAAACCGAGCACCCAAACCCUAACUUAAUCUAUUUGGCUAUUUGUAUUCGGAUCUGAUUCCAAUCAAAGCGCUAAGAAUGGUCGCUGGCUUAUGUGAAAUUCUCUGUGGCUACGAACUCCCCCUGUGUCCAGCCUAGCAUGCCCCUGAGGCGUACACCUGCCGCCAUCUCCUUCCCCUGUCGUCGUAUAGAUGAGCAACUGAAUUAGCAAACCUAGGUAACGUGUGAUAUUGCCUAAGCUGCAUCUCCACACAAAGUUACUAAUUGUUUUGCCUUUGUAAUGGCAUGAUUCAGUUUAAGAUAUUGUGAUUGUAGUACUUUUGGGCAGGGGAUAAAACAAUUUUUGUUAUGGCUGAUCUGUUAGCCCUAAGGAAUUUGUUACUGCUUUUUAGGAAUUAUAUAUACUAGUUAUAGAUGAGCAAAUGAAUUAGCACACCUGGAUAAUGUAUGCUUCUAUUGCCUAAGCUGCAUCUCCAUACAAAGUUAGUAAUUAGCAGACCCCUAUUUAAUAUGUUUGGUUCGAAUCUUACACUGGUCUUGCAUUGUCUUAUGCAUGGCACAUGGCAGUAUGAUCAGUGACUCAGUUUUACUUUGAAAUUAAGCUACUUGCAGGUACAUGGUAGUUGCUUUUUGCUGGGUGAGUGAUAUGCGUGGCACAUGGCUUUAUGUAUUGUUUCUUUUCAAUCAGUGAGUGAUAUUUCUUGAAUUCUCUUAAAACUUCAUUAGGAUCUUUGAGGUUUGAUGCAACAGCUGAAGUUUAGUUUUCUAUUUAUACCACUGGAACUUCGUCCCGUUCAGUUCCUGAUAAGCUAAGUGCUUGUCCCUGAAAUAGAAUUUGUAAUCAACAAACCAGUCACAUGUUUGUUGCAUUCUUCAGGAUGAAACUGAGCCCGCUAUGUAUUCUUUUUCACUGUUUAUAAUUGUUGUUUCCUAAUAUACUACUGUGAAUGCUUGUUCUUUGUUUAUUUUCGUAUAUUGUUAAUUCCUAAUAUACAUAAUUUCCCCAAAUAACAUGAUAAUAAAUAUCGGAAAAGUGGAGAACUGAACGACAAUGUUUAGCGCAAUGGUGAACAGUGCUUUAUAGUUGGCAUUAAUCUUAGUUCCUACAUGUUGUUAAUAUGUAGUCUAUAUACUUUGAUUAUUUUUUAUUGAUUACAAAAUAUUGGGAGGACCAUAAUAAUUUUGAAAAAAAUGCUUGGAUUGUUUCUGAGGAUUUGGGCUUGGAAAGGCGUAAGAAAUCUGAAAGUUUCUUGUGUUGGGAGAGGACUAAUGGGUUACAUUAGGGAUAAGGUUAAUCAGGGGCAAGUUUUACUUGAUAAUGUGGACAUCAAGACGUUGCAAUUAAAGCGACUUAGAGACCAGAUCGGAUUGGUGAAUCAGGAACCUACUCUUUUUGCAACUACAAUUCUUGAGAAUAUUCUUUUUGGCAAACCUGAGGCGACAAAGGCAGAGGUUGGGUCUACGACUACUUCCGCAGUUUUCUCCUAAACACAUUUGCUCUGAUGUUGUUUGUCACCAUAACUGUAGAUUAAAGGAGCCCUAGCUUUCGGAGGACAACCCAGAUGCCUUCAAAGUUCAAAAUGACGGUGAUGAAGGCGCUGAACCGCGCUGGUGGCAAGGCUGGAAACAAGGGUGCUGAAGCUGCUCUUACUUCCAUUGAGAUGGCCUCUCUGUUCCGGCAUCACUUAGGCUGACACUUUGCAUAUUCUGGUUUCUAUACACGAGGCAAGACAUCAUUUCUUCCUAUCAAGAGUUUCGGCUAAUAGAGCUUUUCUGCCGUGGCUAGUAUAAUUUAUUUUCAAUUCUGUUGGUUCGGUGCUGAUUUGUUGCUUUCUUUCUAUGAGAUUUGAAAAGCUCACAAGACAUGUUUCUAAACCUGGCACAAUGAAUAAUUGUCACCAUGAGGUCAUGAAUAAGCACAACUGUCACGGCGUGUGCUAGGGCAGUGGGGCUGUCGCCAAGGACAUGCAGCUUGUGAAGCAGUGCUGGAGCCGUCCCCAUCGCCGAGCAGCUCGUGAGGGUAAUUCAAGCACGCUAAUGCAGUCUGGUCCUACAAUAGCGAUCCUUGGUCUUCACCUACAUCUUCACCUACCGAACAUCAGGUGGAAAACUGGUCCAAAGUGGGAAUGUCAGAAUCUGAAUUUCAAACUGCAAUAUCUGAAACUGAAGAUUUUAUAUGCUGAAGCAGCUUUGGAAGCCUGUUGGUGGCUGAUCCAUACAGCUAUGGGUUACAGUUUAUGCACCAAAGUGAAAGACCACAUGUUGGGGUAUAAGUUUGGUUAAGGUUCAUACCCCUGAAACUAUUUGGAACUAGUAGAAACAGUGGUCCAAAAAUGUAGUGUUUAAUUCUGGAUUUUCAGACUUAGUGAAAAACCAAAGUCUGAAUUUAUGUGUUUAAUGCCAACUUUGGGCUUUGAUGGUUUGGAAUCCAUAGGGUUCUAGCUAAGGGUCAUUGUACCAAACUUGUGGAGCAACAUGUGGAGCACCAAUUUGAUUGAGCAACUUGGCCUCAGAAGCAUUUGGAACUUGGAGAAAAGGGUGAGGUUGUGUCGUUUCAAAGAGAGCAAGAGAAGUUCAGAGACCUUGUUUGAAAUCUAGUACAAACAAACAACUUUUAAACCAAUGGAAAUUUGGACAUGAGCUCUAUACACCAAAGUUGGGUUUGAGCUUAAGGUUAACCUUGUUUUUAGUAGGAUGCAAUAAAUUGAUCAAACCCUUGAAGCAGAUCAAGUCCAUUUUCAACUCUAAACUAGCCAAAAAGUGGAUUUUAAGAUCUAGCUAUGUUUUACUAAAAGUCCAUAUAUCAAAGUUGUGGAGCUUGAAAAAGUGAACAAUUUUCAUAUUUGGAGCUCUCCAAGUGAUGUGGGAGAAUUUGAAGUAAUCUGCAAAAGUUCAGAUUUGGGUCAGUUGGAAUAAGCCCAAAACAGUUUUGUUUA